GGCGUGUGGAGAGAUCCUGUGGGCUUAUUCUCUGCCAACUUUUGCAGUCUCCUCACGCCGUCCGUCCUCCAGUCUCGGUCACGACUCACGACCACCAACCUGCAAGCAGGAAAAAAGAAGCUAAUUUAACAUCAUCCUAGUUCUCGUUAUCACAUGAAAAAUAAAGAAGCGUAGGAGCAAGGCCUUCUUGAAUUGCCAUGGGGCACCACUUUUUCCUCACGCAUGCUUGCAAAAGCCAACCUCCUUUAUGGAACAAGGAACCGUUGAUCCCUUCUUCUCUCCUUUCUGUGGGCUAAUGACAAAAGCACUGAACUGCCAGCUC
rnacentral:lncRNA from 1 species